rnacentral:rRNA from 1 species
AGUUUGAUCCUGGCUCAGGAUGAACGCUAGCUACAGGCUUAACACAUGCAAGUCGAGGGGAAACGACAUCGAAAGCUUGCUUUUGAUGGGCGUCGACCGGCGCACGGGUGAGUAACGCGUAUCCAACCUGCCCACCACUUGGGGAUAACCUUGCGAAAGUAAGACUAAUACCCAAUGAUAUCUCUAGAAGACAUCUGAAAGAGAUUAAAGAUUUAUCGGUGAUGGAUGGGGAUGCGUCUGAUUAGCUUGUUGGCGGGGUAACGGCCCACCAAGGCAACGAUCAGUAGGGGUUCUGAGAGGAAGGUCCCCCACAUUGGAACUGAGACACGGUCCAAACUCCUACGGGAGGCAGCAGUGAGGAAUAUUGGUCAAUGGACGAGAGUCUGAACCAGCCAAGUAGCGUGCAGGAUGACGGCCCUAUGGGUUGUAAACUGCUUUUAUAAGGGAAUAAAGUGAGUCUCGUGAGACUUUUUGCAUGUACCUUAUGAAUAAGGACCGGCUAAUUCCGUGCCAGCAGCCGCGGUAAUACGGAAGGUCCGGGCGUUAUCCGGAUUUAUUGGGUUUAAAGGGAGCGUAGGCCGGAGAUUAAGCGUGUUGUGAAAUGUAGACGCUCAACGUCUGCACUGCAGCGCGAACUGGUUUCCUUGAGUACGCACAAAGUGGGCGGAAUUCGUGGUGUAGCGGUGAAAUGCUUAGAUAUCACGAAGAACUCCGAUUGCGAAGGCAGCUCACUGGAGCGCAACUGACGCUGAAGCUCGAAAGUGCGGGUAUCGAACAGGAUUAGAUACCCUGGUAGUCCGCACGGUAAACGAUGGAUGCCCGCUGUUGGUCUGAAUAGGUCAGCGGCCAAGCGAAAGCAUUAAGCAUCCCACCUGGGGAGUACGCCGGCAACGGUGAAACUCAAAGGAAUUG